CGUAGUUGGAUUUCUGGUGGGAGCGUUGGGUCGGCCCUAAGGGCUCGUACUCAAAUGUUUUCCGCCAUCCUUGGAGGGAUGUUGUCUGGCAUUAAGUUGUCGGGCUUCCGAUCUCCAUCGUUUACUGUGAAAAAAUUAGAGUGUUCAAAGCAGGCUUACGCCGUUGAAUACAUUAGCAUGGAAUAAUAAGAUAGGACCCUGGUACUAUUUUGUUGGUUUGCGUACCUAGGUAAUGA
rnacentral:rRNA from 1 species